GACGAACGCUGGCGGCGUGCUUAACACAUGCAAGUCGAGCGGUAAGGCCCUUUCGGGGGUACACGAGCGGCGAACGGGUGAGUAACACGUGGGUGACCUGCCUUCAGCUCUGGGAUAAGCCUGGGAAACUGGGUCUAAUACCGGAUAUGACUCCAUGAUGCAUGUUGUGGGGUGGAAAGCUUUUGCGGCUGGAGAUGGGCCCGCGGCCUAUCAGCUUGUUGGUGGGGUGANGGCCUACCAAGGCGACGACGGGUAGCCGGCCUGAGAGGGCGACCGGCCACACUGGGACUGAGACACGGCCCAGACUCCUACGGGAGGCAGCAGGUGGGGAAUCUUGCGCAAUGGGCAAAGCCUGACGCAGCGACGCCGCGUGAGGGAUGACGGCCUCGGUUGUAA
rnacentral:rRNA from 1 species